rnacentral:rRNA from 1 species
ACGGGUGAGUAACGCGUAGACAACCUACCAUCUAGAUGGGGACAACACCGCGAAAGUGGUGCUAAUACCGAAUGUCGUAUAAGAGCUGCAUAGCUAUUAUACCAAAGGUGGCCUCUUAGCAAUGCUACCGCUAGAAGAUGGGUCUGCGUCUGAUUAGCUAGUUGGUGGGGUAACGGCCCACCAAGGCGACGAUCAGUAGCCGGUCUGAGAGGAUGAACGGCCACACUGGGACUGAGACACGGCCCAGACUCCUACGGGAGGCAGCAGUGGGGAAUCUUCCGCAAUGGGCGAAAGUCUGACGGAGCAACGCCGCGUGAGUGAAGAAGGCCUUCGGGUCGUAAAGCUCUGUUAUUCAGGAAGAACGAUCUCUAUGUGAACAAUGUAGGGAAGUGACGGUACUGAAGGAGGAAGCCACGGCUAACUACGUGCCAGCAGCCGCGGUAAUACGUAGGUGGCGAGCGUUGUCCGGAAUUAUUGGGCGUAAAGAGCGCGUAGGCGGGAAGAUAAGUCUACUUUAAAAGUGCGGGGCUCACCCCCGUGAUGGGGUAGAAACUAUCUUUCUUGAGUGCCGGAGAGGAAAGCGGAAUUCC